CCCUUAGAUGUUCUGGGCUGCACGCGCGCUACACUGAUGCGUUCAACGAGUGUAUCACCUUGCCCGAUAGGGUUGGGUAAUCUUUUGAACACGCAUCGUGAUGGGGAUAGAUUAUUGCAAUUAUUAAUCUUCAACGAGGAAUUCCUAGUAAUGAUGAAUCAUCAGUUCAUCGUGAUUACGUCCCUGCCCUUUGUACACACCGCCCGUCGCUCCUACAGAUUGAGCAGUCCGGUGAAGCGUUCGGACCGUGGCCUUUGGACGGUUCGCCGUCUGUUGGCUGCGGGAAGUUCGUUAAACCUUAUCAUUUAGAGGAAGGAGAAGUCGUANCA
rnacentral:rRNA from 1 species